rnacentral:lncRNA from 1 species
AGAAUUGACUAGUAGACGCUAUGAAUGCAUCAUGCUCUUUGGCCCAUUUCGAACACUCAGGAUGCAAAAUUUUUCCAAGGGAUGUGCAUCUGCAGACAGUUUUAAGGGACUAUUGUCAAGAACUGUGAAGGAUCUGAGCUUACAAGUUAGCCUGCUUCAGUUUUAUGGAUGUUGGCAGAAGACACAUAACUGUUUGGUCAGAGACAGAAAGACUUCCAUUAUUUGCAGUACAGCACAGAGUUGCACGAGCUUCAUCUUUGCUCUGGUUCCUGUUUUCCCUCAAGUUUACUGGAGAUGAUGACAAGGAGUUCAAGUUGAUGCUACACACAGUUUGUGUCACAGAUGAAGAACUCCAAGUAAAGGAAACUUAAAUCUUUAAUAAAUGAGCAGUAAGCA